rnacentral:rRNA from 1 species
UACGGGGGGGGGCAAGCGUUGUUCGGAAUUACUGGGCGUAAAGCGUGCGCAGACGGUUGCGUAAGUCAGAUGUGAAAGCCCCGGGCUCAACCUGGGAAUUGCAUUUGAGACUGAAUAGCUAGGGUGCGGAAGAGGGAAGCGGAAUUUCCGGUGUAGCGGUGAAAUGCGUAGAUAUCGGAAGGAACACCAGUGGCGAAAAGCGGCUUCCUGGUCCAGCACCGACGUUCAGGCACGAAAGCGUGGGGAGCAAACAGG